rnacentral:rRNA from 1 species
UACGGAGGGGGCUAGCGUUGUUCGGAAUUACUGGGCGUAAAGCGUGCGCAGGCGGUGAUGUAAGACAGUUGUGAAAUCCCCGGGCUCAACCUGGGAACUGCAUCUGUGACUGCAUCGCUGGAGUGCGGCAGAGGGGGAUGGAAUUCCGCGUGUAGCAGUGAAAUGCGUAGAUAUGCGGAGGAACACCGGUGGCGAAGGCGGCUCUCUGGACCGUAACUGACGCUGAGGCGCGAAAGCGUGGGGAGCAAACAGG